GACGUACGCUGGCGGCGGGCUUAACACAUGCAAGUCGAACGAGUGGCGAACGGGUGAGUAAUACGUGAGUAACCUGCCCUCUUUUUGGGAUAAGCCUUGGAAACGGGGUCUAAUACCGGAUAAAGGGGGAUGGGCUCGCGGGCUAUCAGCUUGUUGGUGGGGUGAUGGCCUACCAAGGCGGUGACGGGUAGCCGGCCUGAGAAGGUGACCGGCAACAUUGGUACUGGGAGACGGCCCAGAGUCCUACGGGAGGCAGCAGUGGGGGAUGUUGUACAAUGGGCGGUAGCCUGAGGCAGCGACGCCGCGUGGGGGAAGAAGGCUUUCGGGUUGUAAACCUCUUUCGCUAUUGAACGGGUAGGUGGAGAAGAGGCGCCGGAUAACUACGUGCAAGCAGCCGCGGUAAUAC
rnacentral:rRNA from 1 species